UACGAAGGGGGCGAGCGUUGUUCGGAAUUACUGGGCGUAAAGGGCGCGCAGGCGGCUCAGACAGUCAGAUGUGAAAGCCCCGGGCUUAACCUGGGAACUGCAUUUGAUACUACUGAGCUUGAGUACGGGAGAGGAUAGUGGAAUUCCCAGUGUAGAGGUGAAAUUCGUAGAUAUUGGGAAGAACACCGGUGGCGAAGGCGGCUCACUGGCCCGAUACUGACGCUGAUGCACGAAAGCGUGGGGAGCAAACAGG
rnacentral:rRNA from 1 species